GAGGGUAUAGCUUAGAGGUAGAGCGCAUGCUUCGCAUGCGUGAGGUCCUGAGUUCAGUCCCCAGCACCUCCA
rnacentral:tRNA from 1 species